rnacentral:misc_RNA from 1 species
AAGGAUAUUAUACGGAAUAUAAGACCUUGGGUCUUAUAAACAGAACGUUCCCUGUCUUGUUUAGUUUUGAAGGAUCAUUCCUUCGAAACGUGUUCUUUGAAAACUAGAUAASAGUAGACAUCACAUUCAAUUAGUAAYACAAGAUAUCACAUAGUGAUUCUUUUUAACGGUUAAGUUAGAAAGGGCGCACGGUGGAUGCCUUGGCACUAGGAGCCGAUGAAGGACGGGACGAACACCGAUAUGCUUCGGGGAGCUGUAAGCAAGCUUUGAUCCGGAGAUUUCCGAAUGGGGAAACCCACCACUCGUAAUGGAGUGGUAUCCAUAUCUGAAUUCAUAGGAUAUGAGAAGGCAGACCCGGGGAACUGAAACAUCUAAGUAAAA